rnacentral:rRNA from 1 species
CCUACGGGCGGCAGCAGUGGGGAAUAUUGCACAAUGGGGGAAACCCUGAUGCAGCAACGCCGCGUGAGUGAUGAAGGUUUUCGGAUCGUAAAGCUCUGUCUUUGGGGACGAUAAUGACGGUACCCAAGGAGGAAGCCACGGCUAACUACGUGCCAGCAGCCGCGGUAAUACGUAGGUGGCGAGCGUUGUCCGGAUUUACUGGGCGUAAAGGGAGCGUAGGCGGAUUUUUAAGUGGGAUGUGAAAUACCCGGGCUCAACCUGGGUGCUGCAUUCCAAACUGGGAAUCUAGAGUGCAGGAGGGGAGAGUGGAAUUCCUAGUGUAGCGGUGAAAUGCGUAGAGAUUAGGAGGAACACCGGUGGCGAAGGCGGCCUGCUGGACUGCAACUGACGUUGAGGCCCGAAAGCGUGGGGAGCAAACAGGAUUAGAUACCCCGGUA